AUUGAACGCUAGCGGGAUGCCUUACACAUGCAAGUCGAACGGAGUGGCGAACGGGUGAGUAAUGUAUCGGAACGUGCCCAGUAGCGGGGGAUAACUACGCGAAAGCGUAGCUAAUACCGCAUACUUUUGGAGCGGCCGAUAUCGGAUUAGCUAGGUGGUGGGGUAACGGCUCACCAAGGCGACGAUCAGUAGCUGGGUUGAGAGUACGACCAGCCACACCGGGACUGAGACACGGCCCCGACUCCUACGGUAGGCAGCAGAGGGGAAUUUUGGACAAUGGGGGAAACCCUGAUCGAGCCAGCGCGCGUGUGUGAUGAAGGCCUUCGGGUUGUAAAGCACUGUUGGCAGGAAAGCGGUACCUGCAGAAUAAGCACCGGCUAACUACGUGCCAGCAGCCGCGGUAAUUC
rnacentral:rRNA from 1 species